rnacentral:tRNA from 1 species
UGGAGAGAUGGCCGAGUAUGGUCGAAGGCGCUCGCCUGCUAAGCGAGUAUACUGGGAAACCGGUAUCGAGGGUUCGAAUCCCUCUCUCUCCGU